rnacentral:rRNA from 1 species
UACGUAGGUGGCAAGCGUUGUCCGGAUUUACUGGGCGUAAAGGAUGCGUAGGCGGAUUUUUAAGUCAGAUGUGAAGUACCCGGGCUCAACUUGGGUGCUGCAUUUGAAACUGGAGAUCUAGAGUGCGGGAGAGGAAAGUGGAAUUCCUAGUGUAGCGGUGAAAUGCGUAGAGAUUAGGAAGAACACCAGUGGCGAAGGCGACUUUCUGGACCGUAACUGACGCUGAGGCAUGAAAGCGUGGGGAGCAAAC